rnacentral:rRNA from 1 species
GAUGAACGCUGGCGGCGUGCCUAAUGCAUGCAAGUCGAGCGAACGGACGAGAAGCUUGCUUCUCUGAUGUUAGCGGCGGACGGGUAAGUAACACGUGGAUAACCUACCUAUAAGACUGGGAUGACUUCGGGAAACCGGAGCUAAUACCGGAUAAUAUUUUGAACCGCAUGGUUCAAAAGUGAAAGACGGUCUUGCUGUCACUUAUAGAUGGAUCCGCGCUGCAUUAGCUAGUUGGUAAGGUAACGGCUUACCAAGGCAACGAUGCAUAGCCGACCUGAGAGGGUGAUCGGCCACACUGGAACUGAGACACGGUCCAGACUCCUACGGGAGGCAGCAGUAGGGAAUCUUCCGCAAUGGGCGAAAGCCUGACGGAGCAACGCCGCGUGAGUGAUGAAGGUCUUCGGAUCGUAAAACUCUGUUAUUAGGGAAGAACAUAUGUGUAAGUAACUGUGCACAUCUUGACGGUACCUAAUCAGAAAGCCACGGCUAACUACGUG